AGGCCACUAAUUGGAAAUGGGCUCAGCUGGGCAGGAACAGGAGGGGCCUGUAUAAAGCCCAAGAGCUGUGAGCAGUAAGGGGCUUAUAAGGAAGUAGUCUACUAUCACUCCCUGGGAGGAGGGCGCUUAGGCUGGUAAACCCAGAAGGGGGGGGAGUUAGAUGAGUAGGGAAAAGGCCAGGGAUAGGACUGUACAGAUCUUGGCUUUUGUUAUAGGGUCCCUAGGCUUCUACCCAAUGUAGAGGGUAGAGCAGAGUUCCCCCUACUAGCCACUGUGAAGUCACCACUUGGAGAGGACAGCUGGUCUGGAAGGAAUUUGAAUUCCCCAGAUGGGGAGGACCUUAGUGACCUGGCUGGAGGACCAAGCCAUGAACAGAAAGCUGCAGCUUCAGGAGUGACAGGGGCUGCAGCGUGAAAGAAACCAGGCCAGAGACAAGGGCAGCACCUGGAAAGAGGUAGUCACCAGGAGGAGAUGCUACUAGAAGAGGCACUGGAUCCAGAGAAAACUCAGUGUGAGCCUCUCCCAUAGGAGGUUUCAUAGUGGCCUCCUCAUAUGAUGGAAGCAAGCUUACAGUGAGGAAGGUGGCUUCAGGGAGCAGAGUGGAGUAGUGGAAAUUCUGCUCACUGUUCCAGGGCAGCACCGAAAGGAAAUCAGACACAUCACGCUCAGUCUGAAUUUGUCUGGCUUCAGCUUCCAACCAUUGGCUUUUGUAGUGCCUUUUUCUGCUAGAUUAAAGGCCUACCUGCUAUCAAAAAUCUCUUCCCCAGGUAAGUACUUAUAGAAUGUGAUCAAGUCACCUCUUAACCGUCUCUUCGAUAAACUAAAUAGAUUGAG